rnacentral:tRNA from 1 species
GCGCCUGUAGCUCAGUUGGUAGAGCAUCGGACUUUUAAUCCGCGGGUCCCGGGUUCGAGCCCCGGCGGGCGCACCA